UGAUCAAGCGAAUGUAGUGUUUUUUUUUAUCUAGUUUUCUCUCCCUGUUGGGAGGUUAGCGUCCUGUUCCACACUCCAGUCCAGUCGGUGGCGGUAAUGCUCCAUUAAAGCUGGCUGCCAACCGCCAUAAACAUCGAGGAAGGAGAAGGAAGACGAACCGUUAUGCUCAGGUCGAAAGUGAAAGUAAAUGUAGCGGGUAGGAAGAUAAGACUGAGCUGCGUUAAUCAAAGCGGAUACAUGUGUAUUCGUUUUAAUAUGGGGCAGGGGAGUUUCUAGCAGUUAAAAAGAUCAGGGGCUAAGUGAAGUUUAUAUGGGGUUUGAAUGUUUUUUUAAGGAAGGAAGAUUUGUAUCCUGGAUAAAAUACUCGGGGCUACGCCUAAAAUACGCAGGGCUAGAAUGAUAGGACCUGCCGACGCCCAUUAUAUGUACGAUAAGAAGUAAUCAAGUAAAGGAUGAAAAUGAAGACCAAAAGUCUCGCUAUUAUACUAAUAUUCUUCAAGUUCAUCAUUAAUUCUGACGAGCGGCUGGUGGUGACGGGUGCAGAUGAGCCUGUCUCUGCACAUGCUGGAGAGGAUGUGACUCUCAGCUGCUCUGUGGACACCCAUGUUAAUGUGGCAGAGCUUCAGGUGGAAUGGAGAAAGACAGACGGUGACAUCAUCGUGCUUCAGUAUGCUGAUGGAGAGAACAAACCAGAGUCACAGGAUGAGAAAUACUCUGGAAGAGCUGAAUUCUUCACUGAGGAAACUUCCAAAGGAAACUUCUCAAUGAAACUGAGGAAAGUCAGGCUGGAAGACAAAGGAGAGUUCAUGUGUGAAGUCCACUCAGAUACUGAUUCUAAUAGUACAACAGCCAGGAUAACAGCACUGGGUUAUUCACCCCUCCAUUGGCUGAUUCUGGGCCUGUGCAUCACUGUCUCACCUGCAGUCCUACUUACUGGUGCUUUAUCUGUCAGGUAUUAUAUAAAGAAAACAAACCAAAACAAUGAACCUGUCACGGGAGACGGCAACGAUCGCGAGCAGAGAGCGGCGAUCGUGCGGAAGGAGCAGGCAGGUGAAGGCAGACAGGCUCUGUUGAGUCACUGGUCACUUGUCGCAGUUCCAUCAGUCAUGGUUUCCUCAGCCUUCCUCCUGUGGGGUGUAACUGAUGGUUCCACAGAAGAGGCUGUUACCUGUACUGUCAUCACUCUGCUGAAUAUCCUGAUGUUGUUUAAUAUGGAUGCAAAACAAUUAUAUCCAGGUCUGACAUGGAGAAUUAGCUUCCUGAUUCAGAUAUUAGGAAGCAUCAUCAUCAUCACAGCUGUUUGCACAGGUUCUGUCGUUGGGUGGACAAAAAAUUCUGCAACCCCAGCUGGGAAAGUAAUACUAGGAAUCUUUAUAGGUGAAUUUGUACUUAUGAUGAUCUUUUUGGCUUCUAUGCAGCUUAUAUUGUAUUGGUUUAAAAUUCGGACACUGAAGAAAACACUAUGGGCCCCGUCUGUAUUUCUGAUAAUCUUUUUUUUAUUUGCAGUUGGUGUUGUUGUGUUUCUUGCCAUAUUUUUCUCUGGAAGAGCAGACAUUGGACCGUUUUUAACUGUCUUCAUAAUUCCGGUGAUUUUGUUCUUUAUCUCAUUGUUUGGACCUGGGAUUUUUCUGAUUUGUUUCCUAAGGUCGGGAGCUGGAUUUUAUAAAUUAUUUACUUUAUUCCGCAGUCUAAACAUGAUGUUGUAUAUUCAUAUCAUCCUGACUCUUUAUAUCCAGCUUAUUACCUGGAUGCAAGGCAUCUUUUUACUGGGAUAUUUCAUCCCGAUUAUAGUCUUUCCUUUGGUAAUAUGUACGUGCUUUAUUGCCAAGAUAUUUUUGGAGUCAUUCAGACAUUUCUAUCUGGUUCAGAAAAUUCUUUUGGGGAUUUUAUUCCCGCUGCACCUAAUAUUAAGUCUCCUGUAUCUACGUCUGGUUUUAGAAAAUGACAAAGACCAAGCAACACCGACCGUGGUCAGACCCAGUGGAGGAGGGGGCUGUGGGGCGGCGUGCUCACCAGGCUGUGACAGCGUUCAUCCCGGCCUCCCACCCCCACUGUCCUCCUGGGGAACCUCCAGCCUCUGAGAAACGAGCCGGAGGAGCUACACUGCAGCAUCGGCCCUCAAAGGGACCUUCGGGACUGCAGUGUGUUCUGCUUCACCGAGACCUGGCAGUAACCAAACCCUCUGCACAGUGCUGUACAGCCCCGAGCUUCACUGUAUACCACUCAGACUCCACAGACAGCACUGGCAAGACAAAGGGAGGCGCUUUGUGCUUCUUUAUCAACAGCAACUGGUGCCCCGAUGUGGAAGCGGUUUGCAAGUCCUGCUCAUUCCUGAAGAUCAAGUGCCGCCAUUCUACCUGCCCAGAGAGUUUCCCUCAGUGCUGCUCACUGCAGUUUACGGCUCACUGGAGGCUCCAGCUGCAGCUGUGCUGGACGAGCUCUCACACUCCCUCACUUACCAGGUGACCUCAGUUAAGCCUGUGAGGGUUCAGGGCUGAGGCCUUAGGGGGGACAUUGAGAUUGGGCCUGUGUUUCCACUAAUGUCCCUUUUUAAGAUGGACCACAGAAGCUCCAACACAAAACAGGUGAAACAAACGGAUGAGCUUUUAUAAACAUAAUGCAAACUAAGUUUGCACACUUACCUCAGCCACAAAAGUUUAAUUAAAAGCCAUCAACACUGAAGCCAUGUCAUGCUGAAUUAUUGUACAUUAAUAAAUACAUGGCUGGGUGAGUCGAUAGGCAGCAGUGAGCUGAGGAGAGGACAGCUUUACCCCAGGCCUGCUUGUGCAUCAUGCCUGGCAGCCGUCACAUCACAGACAUCUUCAGCCUGUGCCCGUCUUUGUGCACUGUGCCCCUGUGCUUUAAGAAGACCACAGUCAUGUCUGUGCCGAAGAAAGCUACUGUUUCCUGCUUAAACAGCUACCGUCCCGUCAGUUUAACCCCCGCAGUCCCUGGAAAGUCUGGUCACGUCCUACAUCAACCUCAACAUGCCCUCAGUCCUGGACCCACUGCAGUUUGCAUUCUGGUGUAACAGAUCCGUGGCUGAUGCCGUCUGCCUCUCCCUGCACACUGCUCUGGACAUUUAGGAAAGAAGAACACCUACGUCAGGAUGCUGUCCAUCGGCCGCAGCCCGACUUUAACACCACUGUACCAUCCAAACUGGUGUUAAGCUGAGAUCUCGGUUUGUGCAGCUCCUCCUGUGACUGGAUGUUUGGUUUAUUAACUAAUACAGUGAGGGAGAGUCACGUGACGCUCGUCGCCGAUGGCUGUCUAGCUCUGCUCUUCCGCGUGUCCAUUUGUCCUUUUUCGCUUCUUUUGGCGAAUGGCAGCGUAAAUGCAGAGGCCAUCUCUCCCCUCCUGGCCCCCUUUCUUGUGGAGAUGAAGAACUUUGUCUGCGAGCAGGUGAACCCUCUAAAUGGUGAACUCCAGGAACACCAUUCAGCGCUUCGAGCCGACCUGAACCGACUUUGUCGAUCCAAAAAGUAGUCGCCACUGUAAAGUCUGUUACCGAUCGACGUUCCAAGAUCCUGUCUGGAGUUAAUAGGGGUCUGUUAUCUCUGGAUAGUAAGAUUACUGAGAUUGAGGAGCAUGGACAGGGUUGUGGAACAACGGGGUGUGGGGGGUACCGCUUUGGGGAAGGGGCCCAGCAAUCACUCAGCCCUCCUCCAUGUGCGAAUGGCAUGGGAAAUAACUGGACCACCAGAGGCCGAGAGAUUUUAAUUUAAUGGGCGAGAAAGGGAGAGAGGUUAGACAGUGGGGAAUGACGUAUCCUGCUUCGAUGAGGAGCCAGACAGGGGGAUGCUGGGGAGGAUCGAUCCAACUCCAAAUAGGCCUGUGGGUGAAAGCAUGGUGGUGCAGUUUAAAAUCUGGGAGGGCGACACCCCCAUCUAACCGUGGAUUAUAGUGUAAUGUUUAACAGACGGCCUCUUACCAUCCCAAAGAAAUGCCGAAAUGACAGACUUAUGGAAGCCCAGUGUCUCGGUGGAGGAGGAAGCAGAACGAACAUAAUCAAUCAAUCAGACUCCAACCUCUUCACUAUGGGAGGACCUGGUCAAUGACCUGAAGAGAGCUGGGACCACAGUCUCAAAGGUUACCAUUAGUAACACACUAUGCCGUCAUGGAUUAAAAUCCUGCAGCGCGCGCAAGGUCCCCCUGCUCAAGCCAGCACAUGUCCAGGCCAUCUGAAGUUUGCCAAAGACCAUCCGGAUGAUCUAGAGGAGGCAUGGGAGAAGGUCCUGUGGUCAGAUGAGACCAAAAUAUAACUUUUUGGUAUAAACUCCACUCCCCGUGUUUGGAGGAAGAAGAAGGAUAAGUACAAUCCCAAGAACACCAUCCCAAUCGUGAAUCAUGGGGGUGGAAAGAUCAUGCUUUGGGUGUGCAUUUCUGCAAAGGGGACCAGACGACUGCACUGUAUUGAGGAGAAGAUGGAUGGGGCCAUGUGAUUUUGGGCAACAACCUCCUUCCCUCAAACGACUUGUAAAGAUCUGCGAGUUUGUGUUCAUCUACAUCCUGAUUGUCACAAACAAUGAUGACUGGAAACGGAAAAAGUGCCUUG